rnacentral:rRNA from 1 species
AACAGGAUUAGAUACCCUGGUAGUCCAUGCCGUAAACGAUGAGUGCUAGGUGUUGGAGGGUUUCCGCCCUUCAGUGCCGGAGCUAACGCAUUAAGCACUCCGCCUGGGGAGUACGACCGCAAGGUUGAAACUCAAAGGAAUUGACGGGGGCCCGCACAAGCGGUGGAGCAUGUGGUUUAAUUCGAAGCUACGCGAAGAACCUUACCAGGUCUUGACAUCUUGCGCCAACCCUAGAGAUAGGGCGUUUCCUUCGGGAACGCAAUGACAGGUGGUGCAUGGUCGUCGUCAGCUCGUGUCGUGAGAUGUUGGGUUAAGUCCCGCAACGAGCGCAACCCUUGUUACUAGUUGCCAGCAUUAAGUUGGGCACUCUAGUGAGACUGCCGGUGACAAACCGGAGGAAGGUGGGGACGACGUCAGAUCAUCAUGCCCCUUAUGACCUGGGCUACACACGUGCUACAAUGGACGGUACAACGAGUCGCGAACUCGCGAGGGCAAGCAAAUCUCUUAAAACCGUUCUCAGUUCGGACUGCAGGCUGCAACUCGCCUGCACGAAGUCGGAAUCGCUAGUAAUCGCGGAUCAGCAUGCCGCGGUGAAUACGUCCCCGGGCCUUGUACACACCGCCCGUCACACCAUGAGAGUUUGUAACACCCAAAGUCGGUGGGGUAACCUUUUAGGAGCCAGCCGCCUAAGGUGGGACAGAUGAUUAGGGUGAAGUCGUAACAAGGUAACC